GCCACAUCCUCUGUUCAGUGGAGGUCCCACAUAUCAGAUAUUCCUCCAAUGCUAAGUAGAAAGCUCAACCGCAGUAUAUGAGCUUCAGAUUAAAUUAUUUUUAAUUUCAUGGUGCUCCGUUCCACAGUCAAUUAAUUCCAUUUCAUUUUCAAGGGUCCCAUCACCCUGCCUUCUUCUUUUUCUAGCAGUUUCAGUGAUUUUCUGGAAUCAAUCAGGAAUUGUUUGUGUUUGGUUUUAAAUACGUGUAAACGUAUGGCCGGUCUGUGUCCUUUUUUCCGUUCCUCCUCCUGACUGUACCCACGCUGGACACCCCAGGCUGAGGCUGGAGGGGGCAUGAGGAGCGGGCCUGGCAGGCAGGUACCUGGCCCCUUCGGGAGGUGGGGGACAGAGGAGCAUUUCCACAUCCAGGUGGGUGCCUGUACUACAGAAGAAGGGAACCGCUGCCUCCUGGAGGCCCUGGGCUCUGGGGACUCCCUUCGUUUGGCAUCCCUGCUGUCUUUUCCUCUUAGGAAAGCCCUUCACCACCUGGAGCUGUCUGCAAGAGCUUGGCCCUGAAUCCUUUACAGGGUCGGGCAUGUGACUCACACUGGCCAAUCAGAGUAGUCCAUGCCCUGGGACAGCAAGAUAGGCCGAGGAGCAGUCACAUGACCUAAGCAGGGCCAGUGUCCUGUGGAGGAAUAAAAUGGCUUCUGUGUAAGAAAUGAUUGUAAUCUUUUUCUCUAGGCUUCUUAGCUAUGAAGGUCAUGGAAGCUCAAGGCUGCUGGAGACCACCCCUGCUGUCACUUAGAACUCAUCCUGCCUGAUCAUGAAGCCAACUAGCAAAAAGGAGAGCCAAGAGAUGUCAGGAGGAAAAUAAGUCCUACUGUUGUGCAGUAAGGCCCUAGUCAACCAAGGAACAUCACUGUGUGUCACGUGUCCACCUUCCUUUCCCUUGCCUCGCAUGCCCUGCCUCAUCCAGGCACAGCCUGGAAGGUAGAGGUGAGUGACAAGCACGCAGGAAGCUUUAUGGAACAUCCAACACCUCAAGACUCAGCUCAGACACCACCUCCUCCAGGAAGCCUCGCCUGGUGCCCUAGUGUGCCUUCUCAGGCUGGUUCAUAGCCCAUCUCUGCUGGUCCACAGCCUUUAUUGAGGGCAGCACCAUGCAUAAGGGCUAGACUCUGGAACCCAGAUGUCCCUGAUUGGAAUGUCAGCUCUUGCCAGCUGUGUGACCUUGAACGUACGAGUAACCUAUCCGUUCCUUGGUUUCAUCACCUAUAAAAUUAACAUCAGUCUCUCUACCUAGUCCUACUUUGUUGUGAGAUUUGUCACUGAGUUAGAACAGAGGCCAGCACAUGGCUACUCCUCAGGUAUGAAUUGUAUUGGCCAUCAUUUUUAUGUUCUGUAUCACUUUUGCCAUAACUGCCUUUUACUUGCUUGUCUUAAACCACAAGCCCUUUCCCUUCUCUUUUCUUUCAAUACCUUUGGUUCUCCAGACCCCACAGUGCCUGGCAUGUAAUGAGCCUGAGAGAAUGUCGGUUGAAUAAUGUGUGCCCCCAAAAAUGAACAGGCAAAUCUAUAUCUUCUGCUCUUCCUUCUACCUGUCAAGAACUCUGACUUUGCCAUCUCGUUUCUGGCUCUCAUCCUAAAAAUAGGAUAAUGAGCAAGCGGGAGGUGGAGAGAAGUAGAAGUGAAAGGGAAUGAAGACAAACACAAGGGUUGGGGGGUCAGGAGAACAGAUGGGCUGGGCGGGUCAUGGAGGUGCUCACACCUGACUGGGCACUGGAAUCACCUGGGUGCAAGGGUUCCCAAACAAGCACCCUGAGCCCUACCCUGGAGACUCCCACCUCAUCUGUCUGGGUGGGGCCUGGAACUUCCCAGGUGAUCCUGUGCUAUGAGGCCAGGGCUGAGAACCCUGGGACGGAGAAUGGGAGGAGCUUUGAUGCACAUGAGAAGAGAAAUGAAAGCUCCUUGAGUGUUUUUGAGAGAUUUCAGCAAAGAUUAGUUCCUGUUCAACUAUUUUGACCCUCAGCUUGUUGUUUCUUUGACUGUGACCCAGUUCUGAGACUGGGUGCCAAGGGGACUUGGUUUUGUCUAAUACAAGUGUGUGAAUGAAUGAAUUAAUGAGAGGAGGUUUGUCUCCCAACACUCACACCAGUAAUCACAGACACAAGCAGCAAGGGAAGGUGGAAAAGAUGUUCCAACACAGGGGACUCAAGGGAAACAGAAACACCUCGUCCACCUCAUCAGCCUGUGUUCAAGGGAGAGAGAGGUGCUGGGGUUGAUGACUGUGGCCACUUCCCUGCCCUGAUCUUAAUUACAGGAGACCCACUGGCUCAGCAGUCUGUAAGUUGCAGGAAGAGAAAUUAGAUGUGAUAUCCAAAUCUUUUUUUUUUUUUUCUUUUUUGAGGCAGGGUCUUAUUCUAUUGCCAGGCUGGAGUGCAGUGGUACAGUCAUGAGUCACUGCGGCCUCAACCUCCUGGGCUCAAGCAAUUCUCCAUCUCGGCCUCCUGUGUAGCUGAGACCACAGGCAUGGACCACCAUGCCUGGCAAAUCAAAAAAAAAUAAAAAUUAUACAGAUAGAGUCUUCCUAUGUUGUCCAGGCUGGUCUUGAGCUCCUGGGCUUAAGGGAUCCUUCCACCUCAGCCUCCCAAAGUGCAGGGGUUACAGACAUGAGCCACUGUACCCAACCCCAAAUCUUGACUAGUAGCAUAUAGUCAGCUAGAUAGACAGACGGAUGGACCAUUGCUUGUGAACUUCUCUAGGGAGACCCUCUGAAGAAAGUGUCUGAGGGUCAAGCCAUCAUCAGAGCAGCUGAAGACAAGGCCCCACCCACAACGGGAUCGUGGGUUCAGCAAGGACCCUUCCCAAGGACCAGUCGGCGGGGCUGUGAGCUCCUGGGGGCAACAGGAAGAGGAUUUCAUGCAGGACUCACAGUGCCUGGAGCCUGUUCCACUUAAGAGAAAUUAAGCAGUCACGAGUAUGAAAGGAAUAAUGUCACUCCUGGGAGUUCCUGCCACUGUCCUGUCUUUAAUAAGUCCACAGGGUGCCCAGGCAGUUUUUGGUGCUUGGGGACACAGCUGCAAACAGGUCACCUUGCUCUGAAACUGCAGGUGCUCACCAUCUAGUGUCUAGCAGGGAAAGACACACCAAGCAGAGGGAUGGCAUGGGUGAGUGCUCUGAGCAGGCCCGAUGUGUUCCUGGGACCUACUGAGAGAUGCCUACGAAGCUGCCUAAACAGGAAAGGCUGAUCCGGCUUGCGGUUUUGUGGACUUAAAGGGAGAAAUAUAAGAGGAGGGGCAAGAGGAGUUGAGGGGGACGAAGGCUGUUUCCUCUCCUCCUUCUCUGCUGGGCUCAUUCCCACGGCCACUGCAGCACCCCAGUAGCUCCAACAGAAGGACCCCUGGAGUCUGUGUGUGUCUGUAGGAAUGGGACCAAAGUGCCAAUUCCUGGCUAUCUGUCCACCAUGCCACCUAGCGAGCUGCCUGCCACCAGAUGCCACCAGAGCGGGACAGGGACACCGGGGAGGGGAUACUUGGCCACAUGUUGCCUAAAGAAGGGGCAGAUUUGUGUUUGUAACAAGCACCUGCAGGUAGUUCUUAUCACAGGAGGGACAUUCGUUGUCUGGUGCCCCUCAUUUCUGCCACCCUUCCCAAGCUGGCCUCAUUCUGUCUCUCUGGAGACUCCCUUUCUGCCACCCUUCCCAAGCCAGCCUCAUUCUCUCUCUCUGUAGACUCCCCUCCUUGGCCCUGCCACCCCUGUGCACUGGCUUCAGGAGACUUCCUGAUUUCAAGCAGCCAACACAGCCCAUUGAGAAUCUGUGUGCCUCCCAGGUCUAAAUUCUUCUGAGAAAGAACUUGAUUUGGAUCGGGGCACAGCUCUGGUCCAAUCAGCUGUGGCCAAGGAGGGGUGAGGUCAUGGUACAACUGUGGCUCCUGGGGCCUCCCUUGUGGGUAUAAGGAAGAGAGUUCUGAGAGGUACCCAUCCAAACUGCUAUCUCCCAUCAAUGCAAGCUUGUGUUCCCCAGGAGACCCCAUUCCACAACUCAGGUUAUGAAUUUCUCUCUCCCUGGUACAUUUCCAGACCUCACAGCACACCCAGCUUCAAAGGAAUCUGUCCGAAAAACUUGUAAUGACAAUAUGAUAUGCUUCUUCAAGAAGUUUCUAGAAUGAGCGCUCUGAGCAGACAGGGGCUGUUGCCUUGUUUGUCCUGUGCACCCCAGCCACUCCUGCCAUGUCCAUUAAGCACAAGGACCUACACGCCAUUGUCGCUCACUGUUAUGGGCUGGAUUCUGUCCCCUCGGAAUUUGUAUGUUGAAGUUCUAACCCACAUCUUCAAAUGUGACUGUAUUUGGAGGUAGGGCCUUUAAACAGAUGAUUAAAGUUAACUAAUUUCAUAAGGUGGGCCCUAAUCCAGUGUGACUGGCAUCCUUGUAAGAAGAGGAAGAGGGAAUAGGGAAGGACACACAGAGAGGGCACGUGAGGACACAGUGGGGAAUGGCUGUCCGCAAGCCCAGGAGAGAGGCCUCUGAAGACAUCAAACCUAGUGACUUCUUAAUCUUAGACUUCCAGCCUCCAAGACUGUGAGAAAACACAUUACUGUUGUUGAAGCCACCUAGUCUGUAGUAUUUUGUUAGGGCAGCCCAGGCAGACUAAUACACUCGCUAAAGGUUUGUUCCUCACUAAAGGGAUGCAAAAAUGGUGGAACUGAGUCCUCCCACCAAGAGUUGGGACCUGUCUACUGACUGCAAAUGGCAGUCUAGGUUAGCUCUUGGUUAAAAAGAGAAACAAGAACCAGUUUAUCAGGAGUCCUGGAGCUUUCACUGGGUGAGGACAGGGGUCUUCUGAAGGCCCCAGUGUCAGGGCAGGACCCCGAUGUGUGUGGAGAAAGUGACCCACUACUCAUAACCAUGGCCGGCAUGCAGGGGAUACCUGAUGGCUUUGCUCUGUAGUCCUGCCCUACACUAAGCUUUUGAGUUACUGUCUACUCUAAACUCUAUUUUCAAAAUUUCUUAGACUCUUUUUAUUGGCAAAAGCAAAGGACUGAAUUUGGCAUUGGAGGUCAGACCGCUCUAGUUUGAAAAGAAAAAGGAAAACACAUCUCCAUGGGUCUUUGACUACACAGAGAUCAAACAAAACCCUACUUUGCUUGGUGAUAUUUAGGAAUGGAGGAGCCAGGCUGCUUCCUGGGGACGAAGCAGCGAUUGUGCAUCGGGAGAGGAGCAGCGUGCCUCCCUCUCACCACCUCGGCAGCUCCGCUGGAAAGAGAUCCUCUCUCUCCACUGACCACCGAUGUCAGCACUCCCGUGGGACAGAUGCUAGGCCGGGUGCAAACCACCCACCAGGCAGAGCAGUGGGAGGGCUGACAGCCAAGCCUGGCCACAUGGGCACCCCUGAAGCCUGGGGUACAGCUGGUUCCCAAAACAUGUAGAGAGAGUGAAAGGAGAGACGGUUCCCUAUGGAAACAGGAGAGGUUUUAACUAGAAGAAAGGGGAGUGGGUAUGGUACAGGCCGCAGCGCCCACGUGCUGCUGAGUUCUGGAGGACACUCCCUGUUGUAUCUGAACCCAGGUUCCGCUGCUUGCAGCUCAAAAGCCAAAACUCAGGAGAUGGGAGUUAGUGGAAAGAAAAGCAGGUUUAUUGGGAGAGCCAGCCAACCGAGAUGAUGAACUAGCCUCCUGAAGUAUUAAUACCAUCUUGAGUUAAGUCCAUACAAAUUUUAGGCUCUUUUUAUGUUCAGGACAGGGGAGGAGGAGGGGAUUGGGGUGGAGAUGUAACAGAUGACCACAGACAUUGGCACCAGUGCGGGUCCAAGGAGAUCGGGAACUGCUUUGUCCUUGGUCAGGUCACGAUGCUCCUAUAAAUCUAUUUUUGAAAACAUAGUCAGUUGUUUACAUACUUUCCCUUUAAUCCCAGAGUUAGUUUUUAAAACUCCAUGAUUGCUGUUUUUGCAUAUUAUCUCAAUGCUCUAAAAUUAUCCCAGCCUCCGCGCAGAAAUGGAUAAAGCCCCUUAAGCAAAAAUGGAGUUGGUUGUGUUCGUUCUUUGCUGCUUCCCUGAUAACAGUCAGUUCCCCAAAUCUCUCUCACAUGGAGCAGCCCCUCCACAACCCCACUGCCUCUGUCUUGGGGCACCCCUUGGUUUCUACAUAAGGGGCCCUCACCCAUCUCACAGUUCCAGUCUCUUCGCACAUCCUUCUCCACCCAGCUGAGGUCUUUGAACAGAGGUGGCAGUUUGGGGACUAGGAUUUGGUGAGACUCAAUCCAGGUAAACAGUACCUUAAGAAGGCUUACGAAUGGACGCUUGGGACCUGUGUUGAUCCUGGUUCUCUCACAAAUUAGCAAGUUACUUAACUUCUCUGUGCCUCUGUUUUGUCAUCUGUGUGUUGGGUACAGUAUCUGUACCAAUCUUAGAGGGUUAUUAUAAAGAGUAAAUGAGGUAGUAUACAUCAAGCACUCAAAAUGUGAGCUGUUAUUAAAAUAUAUCUCGCAUCUGUCCACUUCUCUCUAUCUAUGCUGCCACCACCUCAUCUGAGCCACUGUCACUGGUCCCCUGGGCCAUAUCCCAGACUCUUUGUAGUGUCCUGGCCCUCCUCUGACCUUGCACUGCUCUCCAUUCUCCCAUUCUCCACGCAACAGCCAGGAUGAGACUGCCAGAUGAAAUACAGGACACCCGGUUAAAUGUGAAUUUUGGAUCAACAGUGAAUAUUUUUCAGCAUAGCCUUAAGCCAGGGAGAAAGCAGAUCGUUUUGCUCCUAGCUUCAAACCUGCAUUGAGUUCUUGGCACAGUUAGGACAGAAUCUGUACCCUGUCCCGACAUGCAGGGCUUAACCUGGCCCAGCCUCUGUGGGCCAUUUUUUUUCCUGUGACUAUUAUUAACAAUUUAGCAGCAUCAGUGGCCAGGCAUUGCCUUGUCAGGUCACACACUGUGCCUGCUCCCCACCAGGGGACUGAUCAAAGAAUAAGAAAAUGAAGCCAGCAAGGACCACAGGGCAGGAGACCGUGGGGCUUUGUGAGGUGCGUCCCAUCCUGGUGUGGAACCCAGACCAGCUUUCCGCUUGCAUGGGAAACUGUAGCAGCUGGACCACCAGCCUGGAGCGAGUGGCAAGGGGGUUGGUCCAGACUCCAUCCUGUGCGGCAGCCAACUGCCCAGAUCUACUUCGACCAGCCCUGUGACCUUGGACAUGACCUUUACCUCUCUGUGCCUCAGUUUCCUCAUCUACAAACUGGGGAUGCUGGCGGUGUCUAACUAGCCUCAGGGCUGUUGUGAGAUAACCAAGUUCGCACCUGGACAUCAGCUGCGGCAGCACCUAGCAGGGAGCAACCGAACCCCAGCCUUUUCAAUUCAUUCUUCAAGGCCAGGCAGGACUGCAGGCGUGGGCCAGGGAGAGGGCGCAAACAGAGCUUGCUCAGCUGAAGGUGGUUCUACUGGAAAUCCAGCUGCCCCAGUUGUGGCCCCCAUGGCCUCAGGGUGGAGCAGCACAUUGAGACGGAGAAGGUGGUCGAGGGCCCAGCCGACAGUUUCCUUCCUCCCCUCGCCUCCCUGGGAGCCUGCAGCCUUCAGCCGUCCCUCCCCGAUCUGUGUUCCUGGCUUGCCUGCUCCGGGUGGAUAUCCUUACAUCAGGGGCAGGGGGCUGGCGGGGAAUUCAAUCGGUCUCUGCUUGGGUCCCUUGACCUUCUCCCAACAGGCUGAGCUUCUCUUCCUGGGGAGCCUAGAAUCCCCUGGCGACUCCUUCCCUUUCUCUUAAAUUGUGGCCACAGCAUGGCGCCCAGUCCAUGGUCAGAAUGCAGAGUCCCAGGCUAGGGACUGAGCUUCUCACCAAGCCAGAUGCACCCCCCACCAGGAAGCACUGCCCCCGCCACUGGAUUGACCUCGUGUGCCAGGUAACUGGGCUCCCUGAUGCUGUGGUGUUUCUGAAAUACUUCGAUGUAGUCAAAAAUCUUCAUUGAGUCCCUACUGUGUGCCAGGCUCUGAACUCAGUGCUGAGGACAUGAAAUGGGCAGAAGGGGCCUGCUCCCACAGCGUCCUGGGCUGGGACAGACACAUUAGGAGUUAAGGACACUUACUAGAGUGUCAGUGACCAUCACCAUCACCAUUUUAUAGACGAAGAACCAAAGGAACAGAGAGGUUCGUUAACAUCUCCCAAGACCACACAGCUAGAGGCAGCAAGGCACAGAUUGCAACCUAGGCCAGAGGAUCAAAGGACCACGUAUUUAGCCACCCCAAGCUCACUGUCAUGCAGUCAAAUUAACAGCACUUGCUGGGGGUAGAGGUGGGUGGAUGAUGACAGAGAAGAAAACAAGAGCCGCUAAGUGGGUGGCACUGCUUGGAAGACUGCGGGGUGGACAACCUGUCUGUCUCCAGGAGGAAAAUGGCCAUUUCCUUCCCAGGACGCCCAUUGAGCAGGAACUUUCUGGAGCUGGGUCCUUCAAGAUGGGCCUCCCACUCUCCACGUUCUGCCAUUCGGAGCAGGCAACCUGCUGCGGUUGUAUUAAUUAUGUGAUGGCAAAUGAAAGCCCCCAGCUGACCCACCGGGAUCAUAAAUAACGCUGGCAGAAAAUGGAUUUGGGCCACGUGUCUCAGCAGCAGCUUUUUGUGGCAUGAAGGUUGGAUCUUUUCCAUUCUGGGACUGGUGUUUGCUUAGCUGGGAAACCACUCGUCUUCCUGUUCCAGUUCUCCCCGUAAGCAUUCUUUUCCCCUUUUUAAACAACAAUAGGGGUUACUAUGGAAAUCAGAGUAAUUUUCAUCCCAAUGUAGUCCAGAUAAACUAUCAGGCAUUUGCGGCCACCUUGCCUGCCACCCGUGCUCUGGUCUCAUGACUAGACAAUUUGGGAACGUCUGAGAAACUCACAUUCUCUUGCAUCGAUUUCCUAAGUGGGUCAGAGCUUGGAGUUCUUGGCAAUUAAUGGCUGAGUUAGUGAAGGCAGAGCAUAAAAAUUUCAUGAGCAAAAUACGUCUUCCUUAUUUUGAAACUUUAAAAAGCCCCACUCAGAUAAAUGACCCCUGUUGUACCUGAAGUACUGAGUAAAUUAGGUGUAAUUUUAUUACAAUAUUGAUUGCUGCCACCAGACAUCUCGAUUGUAUUUUUUAGCCUUGAUCAAAGGUGAAAAUGGCAUCUUUUAAUCGAGUUGAAAAAUGCAACUCUGUGGGAAGAUGGAGCUGAGCUGAAGGAGGAAGGUGGAGGGAAGAGAGAAGUCUCAGACCCCCUGUUGGGGAAAAUCCACAACUUUUCAGCAGAAACAGAGAUUGUCAGCAAUGGCUGCCAGUGAAUAAGUAUUCAGUGAAUAAUAGGAAAAGAAUAUAGUAGGCACUCAAUAAAAACCGCACCCCUACUCUGUAAGCAAGAAGCUCUGAAUAUGACAAGAGAGGCUCUUAGAGGUGCUGGAAGUAAUGAAAGUCUCCUUAGGGGCAAGAACUGCAGGAAAACGAAAUGAUUUCUUUUUUUUUUUUUUUUUUUUUUUUUGAGACAGUCUCACUCUGUUGCCUAGGCUGGAGUGCAGUGGCACACUCUCGGCUCACUGCAACCUCCGCCUCCUAGGUUCAAGCGAUUCUCAUGCCUCAGCCUCCCAAGUAGCUGGGACUAUAGGCACGUGCCACCACACCUGGCUAUUUUUUUUUUUUAAGUAGAGACUGGGUUUCCCCAUGCUGGCCAGGCUGGUCUUGAACUCCUGGCUUCAAGUGAUCCACCCACCUCGGCCUCCCAGAGUGCUGGGAUUACAGGCAUGAGCCACUGUGCCAGCCCACAAAAAUCAUUUCUUAUGUCUCAUGUGGCCCUGGCACAGAAGAAGUGCUCAAUGAAUAUUUUUGGAAUAUUAUUGCUGAACUUAUGAGGUAUAGAAAUGACUGUUGGAGAGGGGUGUCUUUCAGGGACCCUUUCUCUGAAGGAAGAGUGACAGCUGCCCAGGUGAGAGCUGAGGUCAGGGCAUGGGGAUGGAAGAAGAAUGUUCUAGGCCAAGGGAAGACCCUGCCGUUCAUCGUGACUGCAAAGCAGACAGGGCCCUCGCGGUGAGAUAACUGGCCCUUGUGACAAUAAAUGUUAGUGUAGCACAUAAGGCUGAGAAGAGACUGCUCACCCCUGCAGGUCCAGCCCCACACAGAGCAGGGGACACAUGCAGUUUGCUAAAGGGGAAAGAAAGAGACAGGAGAAAGAAGAGAGGGGAGGGAGGAAGCAGAGGAGAGGGAGGAGAGGAGCUCCUCUCGCUCUGAAAGUUCCUUCCUCAUCUGUAGACAAUUGCACAGCUAACAUAACCUCUUUUGAUGCAACUUAAAAGGAGGUUACUGUUUGAAGAAUGAUUGAUGACGUCUCCUGUGGUUUACCUUUCCCAAGUGACUAAUUGGGUGCAUUCACCCACAGCACAGAGAGGCACCAUUUGCCCUGAAUGAUUUCAUGAACCAGAGAAGUUGAGGGGCUCGGGUCAAUGGCUGUGGUGCAUGGAAAGCCAUGGUCUUCCCCUACCCCCAACCCCACCCUAAAAAAAUCUCAGCUAGGACAGAUUAAUCACAGGAAUUGACUGGCAGACGGGCUUCGUGUAGGAAGAAAUGCCAGGAGGCUUUGGAUAACAGGGGCUGGUGGAGGGGGGUCUCCCACCUGCAGAGGCCAUGGUAAGUGGGAGGUAUGAUGUGCAAAAUAGACACUUGGCCCAAGCCUCCAUGCCCAAAAAGUCCCAGAGUACACUGGAAAGCUUCUCCACUUGAAGCUUUGCACACAGUCACAGAGCCACCCUGGCAGGACUGGAAGAAGAACAUGUGUAUAGUAUGAACAUCUCUAAACUCCAUCCCACACCAGUAUUUGCUAAGAAUUCAUUUUUUUUUUUGAGUGCUGCAAUUAUCUUGUGGACAGUGCAAAUUAUAUCCAGGGGUGUGCUGGUGAACCAGCUCUCCACAAUCAAGAAAGGGGAGAUCCCCCUUCGUUUGUGUUGUUUGCCAAUUACCAUGGUGUAAAUACUGCCACUAUGGCUGAUUGCAGGCCAUUGAUGGUUUAAGAACUAACACAAAAGUUUCCUAAAUAUUUAAUAAUCGACUCUCAUAAGCCUCUUCAAGCUGGCAUUAUCUCAGUUUGUAUAUAAGUUAUUAUUUAUUAAAUGUGACCAUAUGAAGUAUGCUGCAAUUUUGCAACCGUGCAUUGGUAUUUCUUUAUGGUUUUAAUAUACCAGGAGGCUCAAAAGAUGGAAAGGGUGGUGUAGGGUCUCUUCGUCUCAGAAAUCACAUUUGUAAAAUCCUCUCUGCUCUGCUCUGUUCAAUCUGGUGCCUAAACCUGGAAAGUGAUUUUUCACCAUCUCUACCUUCCUGCCCAUCCUUCCCUCCUUUUACAAACAUUUAUUAGGCCGCUACUCUGCCGCCCCACAUCCUCCAUGAAAAUGUCCCUCAUCCAGUCAGACGUGGUAAAUAUCUCAGUCACUCCUGUCUUCCUUCUCAGCAUUCUAGGUUUUACCCUAGAGACCAACCGCUCAUUCAUUCAAGAAAUGUCAACUAGAAAUUUAUUCUGUACUGGGCACGUGCUAA
rnacentral:lncRNA from 10 species